UACGUAGGUGGCAAGCGUUGUCCGGAGUUAUUGGGCGUAAAGCGCGCGCAGGCGGUGCGGUAAGUCUCUGGUGAAAGCGCUCGGCUUAACUGGGCGAGGGCCGGGGAGACUGCCACGCCGGAGGGGAGCAGAGGCGAGUGGAAUUCCGGGUGUAGUGGUGAAAUGCGUAGAGAUCCGGAGGAACACCAGUGGCGAAGGCGGCUCGCUGGGCUCUACCUGACGCUGAGGCGCGAAAGCGUGGGGAGCGAACCGG
rnacentral:rRNA from 1 species